rnacentral:ncRNA from 2 species
UCUUUCACAUGAUUAGCUGGUGCCGGUUUUAAAGCCGGAGAAUAGGGAAGUACGUGAGAUUCGUACACUGUACCCGCAACUGUACAACGGAAAACUGCCGCUGGCAGGUAUGGCCACAUGCCUCAAAGCCGCAGCCGGUGCACGUCACUGCCAGGCUCCUCCACGGAGCGGGCGGGAAGGCUGCAUCGAUUCAAGCCGUAAAGUCAGGAGACCUGCCAGUUACUCUUUGCUCGG